ensembl:lncRNA
CCUUGCUGUCACCCUGCUGUCACCCUGCUGUCACCCUGCUGUCACCCUGCUGUCACCUUGCUGUCACCCUGUUGUCACCCUGCUGUCACCUUGUUGUCACCCUGCUGUCACCUUGCUGUCACCCUGCUGUCACCCUGCUGUCACAAGGAAGCUUUGAAAUCCUCUUCAGUCCCUUUCACAGAAUCUCAUGUGGUCUGAGAUCCUCUAUCUAGGGUGGUUUCUGUGGUCUGAGAUCCUCUAUCUAGGGUGGUUUCUGUGGUCUAGGGUGGUUUCUGUGGUCUAGGGUGGUUUCUGUGGUCUAGGGUGGUUUCUGUGGUCUAGGGUGGUUUCUGUGGUCUAGGGUGGUUUCUGUGGUCUAGGGUGGUUUCUGUGGUCUAGGGUAGUUUCUGUGGUCUAGGUUGGUUUCUGUGGUCUAGGUUGGUUUCUGUGGUCUAGGGUGGUUUCUGUGGUCUAGGGUGGUUUCUGUGGUCUAGGGUAGUUUCUGUGGUCUAGGGUAGUUUCUGUGGUCUGGGGUGGUUUCUGUGGUCUAGGUUGGUUUCUGUGGUCUAGGGCGGUUUCUGUGGACCCUGCCAUCAUUCAGAGUUUCAAUCAGAACAUGAUCUAGAGACUGAAUCUGGAGACUGAAUCUGGAGACUGAAUCUGGAGACUGAAUCUAGAGACUUGAAUCUAGAGACUUGAAUCUAGAGACUUGAAUCUAGAGACUUGAAUCUAGAGACUUGAAUCUAGAGACUUGAAUCUAGAGACUUGAAUCUAGUGACUUGAAUCUAGAGACUUGAAUCUAGUGACUGGAUCUGGAGACUGCCACCUACUUGCUUACUGUCUACGUGUGUAUCUACAUGCCUGACUUGUUGUGUGUUUCGGUGACUAAUGACUGUUUCAUGUAAAUAUUAAAUAUAUACAUCACACUCCUCUUAACCUGUUUAGUCCAAUGGUUUUAGAUUAUACAAGUCAAUCAAUGACCAUGUGGUUUCUGGGUGAUGUCUUCUUAUAGAUACAGGUCUCUACCUAGCCAUAGGGUCAAGAGUAGUGCACUAUGUAG